rnacentral:rRNA from 1 species
CAGUAGCCGCGGUAAUACGAAGGGGGCUAGCGUUGUUCGGAUUUACUGGGCGUAAAGCGCACGUAGGCGGACUUUUAAGUCAGGGGUGAAAUCCCGGGGCUCAACCCCGGAACUGCCUUUGAUACUGGAAGUCUUGAGUAUGGUAGAGGUGAGUGGAAUUCCGAGUGUAGAGGUGAAAUUUGUAGAUAUUCGGAGGAACACCAGUGGCGAAGGCGGCUCACUGGACCAUUACUGACGCUGAGGUGCGAAAGCGUGGGGAGCAAACAGGAUUAGAUACCCCCGUAGUCCCUGUCUCUUAUAA